rnacentral:rRNA from 1 species
CCUACGGGAGGCAGCAGUGGGGAAUAUUGGACAAUGGGCGCAAGCCUGAUCCAGCAAUACCGCGUGUGUGAAGAAGGCCUUCGGGUUGUAAAGCACUUUCAGCAGGGAGGAAAAGCUCAAAGCUAAUAUUUUUGAGCCUUGACGUUACCUGCAGAAGAAGCACCGGCUAACUCUGUGCCAGCAGCCGCGGUAAUACAGAGGGUGCAAGCGUUAAUCGGAAUUACUGGGCGUAAAGCGCGCGUAGGCGGGCAUUUAAGUCGAUUGUGAAAGCCCCGGGCUCAACCUGGGAACUGCAGUCGAUACUGGAUGCCUAGAGUAUGAUAGAGGUAUGUGGAAUUCCCGGUGUAGCGGUGAAAUGCGUAGAGAUCGGGAGGAACACCAGUGGCGAAGGCGGCAUACUGGAUCAAUACUGACGCUGAGGUGCGAAAGCGUGGGGAGCAAACAGGAUUAGAUACCCGGGUAGUCC